UAUUUUUGUGCCCAAAAUAAAUAACAAAUAUUCAAAGUAGUAUCUGAAAUAAUACAAAAAAAUUUUCUCACAUGAUCAAAAACAAAGUCAUCUGCUGUCCCUGAACGCAUCUCGUGGCGCGUUCACGUGCAGGCGGACGCGCGCUGUGCAGGAAUGUUGCGCAUCCUCGUGUUGACGCGUCUCUAAGGUUACAGCAGGAUGUGAGCGCGCUCUGCUCUGCACAAACCUGACACUUUUGAAAUCAUGGACACGAAGCUCAAGUCCACAUCGCACUCCGUGAAGCGCUGGCAGCUCAGCGGGACCGACUACAGCGCGCGGGCCGAGACCCUGUUCAGCACCUGGACCCCUCUGAACGACAAGACCGGCAACAUGCAGCUCUUUGAGGAGAGGAUGAACCUCGUGCUCCACUGGUUUGACCUGUGGACUGACCGACAGAGGAAGCACCUGUUGUACUCUCUGCUCACACGCUGCACCAAACCCCAGCUCAGGUACUGUCGGGAUCUGCUGAUCGAGACGCUUCCUGUGACUCAAGUGGACUUCACCUCGGUCCUGCCUCGGUUCCUGUCCCUGUACGUGAUGUCGUUUCUGUCCCCUCGUGACCUCUGCUCGGCCUCCCAGGUCAGCUGGCACUGGAGGGUCCUCACGGAGCAGGACUGUCUCUGGGCCGGCCGGUGCAUCAGGAGAGGCUGGUUCCUCCCGUACACUCCCGUAGAGAAAGAAUACGGAGCGUGGAAGAACCACUACGUCUCCUGCGUCUCCACGCUGGACUUGCUCACUCCACGGGAGGCGGCCGAGCAGUACGGGACCCUCAACCGGCCGAGCACAGGGGCGACGGAGGAGGAGGAAGAGAGGAGGAAGGAGAGGAGGGUCAGGCAGAUGAUCAGAGACAAGCUACAGGAGGAGAAGAGAACGUCUAUAAGAACCAGGAGAGCCUGGGGCGGAGGUGGAAGUACCCAGACAGGGAGGCCCGGCUCUGGACUGACGUUCAGCUCUUCUCCCUCUCUGUCCUGGCCUCCAAGGACUGCCGCGUCCUCCAGCCUCUCUCUCAGCCUGGACAGCCCCAGGACUGCAGCCCCGAGCUCGGAUAGAGUCCAGACCUCCAGUCCGAGAAGUGAGCGGCUGAAAGCCAGCGGAGCGUUGUCCUCCUUCACCUACAGACCCGCACCGCCACACACAGCCCCUCCCAUCCAUCGGCCCUCUCCUGCCCUCUUACUGCUGAUCUCCGACAGGAUUCCUGCCUAUGAGCUGUUGCUGUGCGGUGUGAAAGCAGGAGUCAUUGUGGUUCUGUACGACCACAGAGGGACUCUCUCGGCUCUGUUAACCCAAGCGGAGAGGGCUAUUUCUGGGCAGAGAGUUCAGAGGCUGGGCCUAGUUGCUCCAGGAGGAACGGAUGAGAUCCAACUGCUUCACAGUAGUUUCCUGUCAGAGAGGACUCUGCUGACCCCCGACCACAGAGACUUCUGGGAAAAACUGAGCGGCUGGGUGGCACCGGCUGAAGACGGAGGAGGGAUUGACAUGUUCUCCCCGCUGGCUGCAUCUGCAUCAGGAGUGGCUCUGGUCCAGACUCUCUCUACUCUGACUGGACUGGAGGUUCGAGCGCCGACGGGUCUCGCCACCGGAAGUUUCCAGAACAUCCUGAGCGAGUGGUCUGGCGGCGCCGUGUGCUCCGGCCUCUCGGACCAGCAGCCAGCAGCUCCGGCGCUGCGGUUCAUGUGUGAGAGCGUCCUGCGGGGCUGGUGCACUCAGGCUCAGUGGAUGGAGGAGGCUCUGCGGGAGAUGAGGGGCCGCCUGGGGGCGCAGCUACAGCGGGUGAGCCUCCAGGCCAGAGGCCGAGCUCUGGGUCACUGUCUGUGGGAGAACGUCUGCCUCGAGGAGCUUUGUGUGUCCGAAGAUCUAAAGGAGGCUCUGACGGAGGGACUGACUGCUCUCACACGACAGGACGAGACCAGACCUCUGGAGUUUCUUGCCGUCUUCCUGACAAGAUGGAGCGAGGAGAAGGGAGGAGGUGGAGAGGGACAGUGGAAGAACAAAGGAGGAGAUCUGUCUGUAGCAGCACAUAACUCACAGAAACGCCUCAGCCGGAUACCUGACCUGCCACAGGAAGUUUUAGAUUGGAGAGGCGCCGUCGCCAGAGAGCUGCACCACAGCGAGUGUGUUUACGUGGGGAGGCUGGGCGCCGUGCUGAAGGUUUACCAGGAGCCGCUCACAGCAGCGCUGAACUCCAACAGAGCCAUCCUCAGCCACGCCGACAUCCACAUCGUCCUCAGUCCCGUCAUGCACAUACUGGAGCUCAACAGGGUGUUUCAGGUAGAUUUACAGGCCCGGCUGCAGCAGUGGGAUGCAGAGCAGUGUGUCGGAGACGUGUUUGUAAAGCUGUGUUCAAAACUCCGAGUCUACACCAACUACCUGAACAACUACACCACCGCCCUCUGCACCAUCGACAAGUGCAGGGAGGCGAAACCUGCAUUUCGGGCUUUCCUGAAGAGAGCAGACAGAACGCUUGCAACACACAUGCUGAGCCUUCAGGAGCUGCUGCUGUGUCCGGUGUGGAGAAUCCAGGAGUACGUGACUCUGCUUCAAGCUCUCUCCGUGCACACACAGCCCGGUCACCCGGACCACACACACCUGUCCUCCGCCCUCAACACCCUGCUGCGAUUCAUAGCGUUCAUACAGAAGUUAAAACGCAGCUCGGAGAGAGACGGCGCGCUGGAGGAGACGCAGCAGAUGAUCCAAGGAUGUCCGCGUCUCAGUGAAUCAAACAGGCAGCUGAUCAUAACUCAGGACGCUGCUUUGCUCCGGAGCCCCGACGAGCAGAUUCCAGACUCGUUCAGGACCUACGAGCAGGUGUCUGACGUGAGCUUCUUCCUCUUCAACGACGCUUUGGUGCUGACGCGGCGAACAGUGCAACACACACCUUUCACGCUGGCUCACCAGAGCGCGCACACCUUCGUGGCCUCCGUGGCUCUCGCCAGCCUGACCGUGAGAGAGAUCACGCACUCGCGCUACGUGAGUCACGCUUUCGUCCUGGAGGGUCCGUGCCGUUCGUGGGUUUGUGCCACAGAGAGAGGCGAGGAGAGAGAGCACUUCCUGUCUGUGCUGCGUUCAGCAAUCACCUCUGCUCUGAGAGGACACGAGUGACGGCGGCAAGACAAGAGGAGCCUCGUCGCAGCAGGUUCAGAUAAAUGAGGCCGAGGUCGGCGAGGCUGUGGAGCGAUCUGCUCGUUAUCUGGCCGAAGCACAAAGAGGGAGGGAGUGUUGGCUGACCAGCCCGGAUCAGGUGAAACGUGUUGCACAAGAGGAACAAUCAUCGCCACAAUCCAUCAAGCAGCCUCCUCCGUUCAUCUGAUGCAAACCUCCUGACUCCACCACCACCACCACCCAGGAGCCGAGCACCGAACCUGGGGCGACAGUCUCUGGAGUCCCCUCCUCCCCAAACACAUCCAUGACUGCACCGACUUGCCCACCUAGAAAUAUAAAUAGGACAUACAACAGUAUUUAAAAUACUGAUAGCAAGAGUAAAGUGACGUGACAUUUUGCAGACAGAGUAACUUUAAGACAAAGAAAACAACAUGUGAGGAGGAAAAUGAGUGAACUGCAGCAACGUCUCCGUCUGCAUCCUGGCUCAUCAGGUCACAAAAGUAAAAAAUCAAUCCUUAGUAGAAAAUCCUCGAGGGGAUGCAGUCCCAUUUUUGCCAAGCUGCAGUAUUUUGGACAAAGCGUAGGCGGUGGAUUGAUUUCUGACUGCGACAGGUAUAUAGUUAGAGUCGUCGAGGUGGGAGGAAAUGAAAGCACGGAUGAGUUUCUCCAGACCAAACCUCGACUUUAUUUCUCAAAUGAUUAAAAACGUGACCCACAGAGGGGUCGCAAGAUAAAUCUGAGAGGUUUUUAGAUCAAUACAAGAUGAUUUUACCUCCUUAAAGUGAAGUAAAGUUUGUGUUUGCUUUGUUUUAAGGGGCCUGAAAUCUUUCUCUCCAUUCUUUCUUUUGUUUCUUGGGGUUGAAAGCCUAAAAACUCGUUAUCUCUCUCACAGUGGUGACACUUCAUUCUCUCGGUAAGUCCGAGCACCUGUCUCCAUCCACAGCCACCACAGGAAGUUGUUUUAUCAGUCCCUUUACGACCUGUCUGCUUCGCCUGAUCAAUACAUCCCACGUCGGAGCAGCUGUAAACGGCUUUCUUGGGACACUUCUCUCAGCACCGCAUAGCUUUUACAGGACAUAAUGACCGGGGUGGACGGUAUGAGAGCGUUUCUUUAAAUUAAAGGAAGCUUUUGUGCAGCCUUACCUGCCUGCAUUUGGGUCCUGUCUUAAAACCCCCUUACUUCCACAUAACAAAUAUAUGUUUUCAUGUUUUUGACAUCAUCUAAAUUGAAUUCUGGGAACUGUAGUCGUGUAGUUUUAUGAAACUGUAGUCUUUUCUUCUUUUUUUUAUGAUAAACACAUUUCUUCUCCGUGCUCUGCGGACGGGCCAUCUGCUCAACAUUUCCUCGCGGUGUAAAAACAGAUACACAUGGCAGAAAGAGACACUUACACCGGGCAGGAAUUGUCGGCAUGAAGAAGACGAGAAAAGUCAUUUUGAAUUUGAUUUUUAUUGAGGAAUGAUUUGUAAGCUGCAAUGUAAAACCAUGCAAAUGUUUUCCACUCGGCUAUGCCAGGCCGGCGUCAUAAAGCACCGAUUUAUCACACACAGACACUCUCUGACCUCUUCCUCCUUCCUCCCUCUCCUGCUCGGCGUUAUGGGAGCGGGCAGUUUAAAAACAGAGGUAUUUACGACUCAGCGCUCUGCUCUAGAGUUCCUGGAGCUCCACGAACAUGUGGGACUGGCACUGUGACACCACCGGCUCAGUUUAAAGAUAGACAGGUUGGCUAUCUGGCUAUUUUGUAUCAGGGUCCAUCUGUCUGUCUGCACACACCUGCCUGUCUAUCUGUCUGUCCUGUGCAGUUAAAAGCAGAGCAAGAGAACCGAGUUAAGUUACUCAGUUAAGUGUGAUUCCUUCAGACCGCAGGCUUUAGUUACGUAAACUGUAACCCCACAAACCAAACUAUGUAGCCGGUGAUUGGCUUGGAAGUAACACUAGGUCUGUGUAGUGACAUUUUAACAUGGGGACUUAUGGAGACUGACUCACUUCUGGAGCGGUGGGACACAUAAGUUGAUCUUAAAUAGGAACCAGGGUUAAAAUUUCCCCUAAAAACACCUAAAACAUUUCUCUGUUACUCAGGAAAUUAGCUGUAAUUCAUUUCUAAUGAAGUCUUGCAGCCGAGCAGAGAUGAUUUCAGGACACAGAGAGUUUAAAGAUGAUCACAUCUUCAUUAGAAUAAACCAAAUUCACCUCUUUAAUUUACAUUAUCUCAGCAUGUUACUGUUAACUUGGAGCAAGGUGACUGCUCCACAUUCAUGUGUGUUAUCUAAACACGGCCUUCAACUUCAGAACUGAAAGAAUCUGUCGCCAUCUACAGGUCGAGAGCAGCAAUCAGCCGUCUCUGUGUCUCACAGGUGAACACAAUGAUGCGGUGAUUUGUUUUUU